GAGAAGGUUAUCAUCUCCAAGCAACAGAAUUUGAGGUUUGAACGUUUCACUCCUAUAAAAUAAUGGUCUUGUUACUUUUAAAAUUACACACCAAUGAACCCCAAGAGCACAACUUAUCACACAAAAAACUGAGGUGAGAUUAAAAAAAAUGAACAGAGAAAAGCUGAAUCAAAGACAAAACUAAUGAGACAGUAGGACAAAUAUUUGAACAUUUUCCUAUUCCUCAAUGGAGAUAGUUUAAUUAACAUUUUAACCAUCUCUAACGCAGCUAUCAAUCUUCUGCAAAAAUGAAUGCAUCUUGGAAGUCAGAGCAAGAUUAGAGCGAGAAAAGCUGAAGAUAAUAGAGACUGAGCUUUAGAGGUUUCGAAGCUCAAACUUGAACUCCCUCCUUGAGGACUUAUGGGUCCAAAUGCCACUGGUGGAAAAAUUCUCCCACUCGUGCUUGAAUUUGAACUAUUUCAACAAAUUCACAAGAUUAGAGCCACCAAAACAAGUAAACAAUCAUAAACUUAAUUUUCUAGAAGGAAAUGUGGAUCAAUCAUAAGCAGAUUUAGAUUCUCACCUUCCUGUAAAUAUGCAGGAUCCAUAACCUGCAAACAGCACCAUUAGUGAAGAUGGCACAUGAAGAAAAAGAACAUAUAAACUAGAAAAUAAACAUCGCCAUAAAAAUGCUUGAUUGGAAAAAGAGUAAUGUCCUUGAACUGCUUUCCCUUCAUGUCCAAGAAUUGCAGGCAAAAACAAAGUUCAAUCCUUCUAGAAACUUGAACCAAAACAGAAUAGAACUUGUAUAUAAUCCAUAUGGCAAUUUGCAGGUUGAUGCAGUUUGGAGAACUCCGCUUGCCUCUUGAUUACACAACUUUUAAUUGAGACUUUUUAUUAAUAUGAUCCGCAAAGCACGAACAGUUGAGCAGAAUACUCAUCAGAUGUAUAACAUUUUCAGAUUCUCACACAACUGGUACUUCCCUUGGUUCAUGAGUAUACCAGUAUUAAAUAAGAUUUUUUAAUAACAUUAACCCAGGACACUCUGAUGAGCAGUAAUGCAUAUCCAUACAUAUCAUAUAAUCUAAAAUAUUUGAUCUAAAUGGUAUUAGAAUCCAUUUCAAACAAGUACAGAGAAAAAUCCUAUUACUUUCCAUGUUCCAAGACCUGUCUACUUCACAAGCAGAGAUCAUCUGCAUAACUAGUUUAUCAGAGAACCACUGACAUAAUUUUUGCCAAGACAAUGAAAUGGUACAAGCCAUUUGAAAUCCAUUUCAAAGAAAACCCAGGAGUUCUCAGCACACAUCCAGCAAGCAGUCUAUGGAAAUAGGCUAACUAUAUAGUGUCCAUCAAAAGAGUUAUUUCAGAACCAAAUCAAGAAUAAUGCAUGCAAAUAUUACAAGUUCAAUAAGUGACAAGAAAAGAGCAGAGGAACUUACUGGGAUCUACUGUAGUUGUUGUGGCAGUACCAUCAAAGUCGCAUGUUCCUCCAGUGCUAUGCAUUUUUUGAUAAUAAUCAUUAUAAGCAUAUGAUGCAUGGUUCUGGUAAGUAUUAGGAAGAUAACAAGGGUGUCCUUGUUGGAUAGCAGUGCAGUUAGCCCCACCUUGCCCACAAGCCCAGUUCAGCCCUUCUUGCAACUUUGCAGAAUCUGCAUUUUGUUUAGCAGCACAGAAGGUUACCGAAGAAUUUCCAGUAAUUCGAUUGGAAGUACUCAAACCAAGAGUAUAAACUGCAGUGCCAUUGGUGAAAAAUACGCCCCAGUUUCUCUUUGAUAAGGGCCCUGCCUUCUUGUCUUCAUUGAACAACUCAUAGAUGUAUGUAUUAAUGGGUAUGGUUGGCUGACUAGGUGGGCCUGAAUCAUUUAGAACUCGACGGAUCAAAUUAUUAUUGAAGGUCUCAGCAUUUUCAACAGUGGCAUCAGGCUCAUUGGCUCCACCAAGCCAAGGCCAGCCAGUCUCAGUAACAAUAAUGGGAAUCCCAGAAAUAUUGAAAGUGUCUAUAGCAUAAUAGGUUGCAUCCACCAUUGCAUCAAACAUGCUGUUAUAGUGAGAAAGAGUGUUGGGGUCAACAAUCUGCUUGACAGAGGGAAGUGGUCGGAAAAGAGCAUAAUCAAUGGGGAAAAUCCCAUUUCCAGUAGUAUAUCCAUGAUAAGGAUAGGCAUUCAACAUGUAAUACGAGUUGGUGUUCUUCAAAAAUUGAAGGAGCUGGUAAAUUGUAGAAUUCCAAGUAGAGCUAAAAGUGGCAGUUGAUGGUGGGAAAGGCUUAGGGAUAACAUCCAUGGAUUGAGGAGUUGAAACUUUGACCUGAAAAUUUAAAUUUGAAGAGACGAGGGCUUUAUGAAGGUAAUUCAUGGCAGGAACCAGAACAGCAGCAGCAUUAGGGAUCGAGGUGAGAACCUCAUUGCCAACUGCAAUUGCUGUAAUGUUGGUCGAAGGUACAUAAGAAGCAACUUUUUUAUUAAUCCAUGCUGCAGCUGCUGCUGGAGAUUCCCCAAUCCCUAGGACUUCCCCAUUUGUAAUACCAACCAUAACUUCAAUCCCACUGUUUGCAAGGGCUUUCAACAUGUGAGCAUCAGCAUCAUAGAGGCGCACAUGAGUAAUUUGAUUGGCUUUAAGGAUUGCAACCACAUCUGAAGCUGAUGGCAUGUUGGAGACAUCAGUUCCAAUGUUUAUUCCUAGAUAUGCACCUACUGCGUUGCUGAACAUGACAACUAGGAGUAAAAGAAGACUUCCAAACCAUUUUUUGAGCACCAUUCGAUCCCAAAAGCUUUUGCUUUUUAAGCCUUAGCUGGAGCUAAACUGUAAGCAGCCUACAAAGAGUUAACAAAUCGCUGAAACCCACAGCAAAAACUACUUAAAACAACACAACAAAAUGAGCAGUAACCAGUGAGCACCCAAUACUAAGAAUCCAAAGCACAGUCCAGACAGAUUCCUGAAGCCCCACUAAAGUAAUGGCAUUUCUUUGUAUGAGGAAAAACCACACAACACUGCCCCAGUAACACACUCGGUAGAGCUAAUACAAUCAGCAAUCUACCAUUAAAUACAACAAAAGUACUUUCAAACCAGACCCCACCAUAUGAAAAACUACAAAUAGAUAAAUUACAUAAUUAUUAGAAGGUUACAGAGAAGAGAAGCCUCUAAUGGUAGCUUUUCCUUCGU
rnacentral:misc_RNA from 1 species